UACGAAGGGGGCUAGCGUUGCUCGGAAUCACUGGGCGUAAAGGGUGCGUAGGCGGAUCUUUAAGUCAGGGGUGAAAUCCUGGAGCUCAACUCCAGAACUGCCUUUGAUACUGGGGAUCUCGAGUCCGGAAGAGGUGAGUGGAACUCCGAGUGUAGAGGUGAAAUUCGUAGAUAUUCGCAAGAACACCAGUGGCGAAGGCGGCUCACUGGCCCGGUACUGACGCUGAGGUGCGAAAGCGUGGGGAGCAAACAGG
rnacentral:rRNA from 1 species